AACAUUGUGUGUCUGCUCUUAUAAAAAGGAGACAUUCGCCUUAGUCUGACAUCAGUCUCAUCUGGAACCAAGCUGGUGGCACAGACGCGACCUCUCUUCAUCACCUGGUGAACGUGAACCUCAAGCUAUGGCUAAUAAGGAUUGUGAUCAAGAAUUCUGUGAGGAGCUGAAGAAGUUCUUUGACAGCCGUGGCGGGAGUGUCAAAGUGCGGGAGCUCAAGGAGUGGUUGGCCGAAAAUUGCAAAGGCCGCAAGAACGAAGGUGGAAUCAGAGGGCUCUUUCCGUGCAUGGAGCAAAAAGCCGACCAAGAUAUCACAUUUGAGGAGUUUAAGAAAUGCUGGGAGGAGAAGAAAGGCAAGGGAUGUUCCUAAACAAAACCCUCAAGAAUGACCAUCAAAAUGUGUAAUAGAAUAAGAUAAUAAUAAUAAUAGUAAAGAGUACACUGACAGCAGAAGCCAUCUGUGCCUCCACUGAAACCUGAUUGAGUUUGAAAAUUGGUUUUGAAAGAUGUGUCCAUGCAAUAUUGGCUGAGAAAAAAUAAAAAGCAUGCCUUUGA